rnacentral:tRNA from 1 species
GGGGCCGUGUAGCUUAGAGAGUAAAGCGCUCCUUUUUUUCUAAAUCACAGGAAAAAACAGGGGAAAUUCUCGGUUCGAGUCCGAGCGGUGGCCCCA